rnacentral:rRNA from 1 species
CCCUUAGAUGUCCGGGGCUGCACGCGCGCUACACUGAAGGAAUCAGCGUGCUAAAACCAUUGUCGAAAGGCAUUGGUAAACCCAUUAAAAUCCUACGUGAUUGGGAUCGGGAAUUGCAAUUAUUUCCCUUGAACGAGGAAUUCCCAGUAAGUGUGGGUCAUAAGCUCGCGUUGAUUACGUCCCUGCCCUUUGUACACACCGCCCGUCGCUGCCCGGGACUGAGCCGUUUCGAGAAAAGCGGGGACUGCUGCUGUCGGGGCUUUCGGGCCUUGGCUUCGGUGGAAACCGCUUUAAUCGCAGUGGCUUGAGCCGGGCAAAAGUCGUAACA